rnacentral:rRNA from 1 species
GAUGAACGCUAGCGGCAGGCCUAAUACAUGCAAGUCGAACGGGUGGUCGCAAGACCACUAGUGGCGCACGGGUGCGUAACGCGUAACCAACCUGCCCCGAUCUGGGGGAUAGCCCGCCGAAAGGCGGAUUAAUACCGCAUAUACCCGCAGCCUGGCAUCAGGCAACGGGGAAAGAUUUAUUGGAUCGGGAUGGGGUUGCGUGACAUUAGCUAGUUGGCGGGGUAAGGGCCCACCAAGGCGACGAUGUCUAGGGGACCUGAGAGGGUGAUCCCCCACACUGGCACAGAGAGACGGGCCAGACUCCUACGGGAGGCAGCAGUAGGGAAUAUUGGGCAAUGGGCGAGAGCCUGACCCAGCCAUGCCGCGUGCCGGAUGAAGGCCUUCUGGGUUGUAAACGGCUUUUCUCAGGGAAGAAAAAGACCUUGCGAGGUACACUGACGGUACCUGAGGAAUAAGCACCGGCUAACUCCGUG